CUGGCAUUAACCUUUUGUCCUUUAUCCUUCUUUCUUUUCCCUGGGACAUGAUUUUGAUGUGGCAGCCAUCUUGCUGGUCGUGAGAAUAGAAGAAAAACACAAAGGAUGGUGUUUCAUUUGUUUAUUGCAGUGCAACAAAUCAUCAAAAACUUAGUAUUCUGAAGCAACUACCAUUUAUUUCCUCACAAUUCUGCCUUCUGAAUUGGGCUAAGCUGAGUGGUUCUUCUGCACCUCUUGCCCUAGGGUCAUCUAUGUGGCUGGUCCUGGAUGGCUUCAAUCAUAUGUAUGUGCCUCUUUUUCCAUCUGGUUUCUCCUUCUCUAGGAGACUAGGGCAUCCUUACAUGAUUGUUUCAGGGCUGAAAAGUGAGGGCAGAUGUUGCAAGACUUGUUUAGGGAUAUGGCUCAGAAAUCACACAAAGAAACUCUGCCAUAUUCUAUUGGUCAAAACAAGUCACAUGACCAGCUCAGAUUAAUGGGCCUGUGUUCCAGGAUGGGAGCCAUGGUUAUGGGCAUUUUGCAACCAGUCUGUCAUAGAGCACAAAAUCAGAAUGGGAAGAGCCUGGAUCCCCAUGGUUACUACUGUUCAAGAAGUGUGGUGCCGGUAUCUGCUUCUGGUGAGGGCCUCAGGGAACUUUUACUCCUGGCUAAAGGCAGAAGGGAAG
rnacentral:lncRNA from 1 species